AUGCAACCUUCUACGCCGACCAGUUCCCGCCGGCUGAGUUGCACCGGCGGCCGGUGGACUACCAGCCCAAAACCUGGGACUACGACUCCAUUUGCUCCUUGCAUCAGCAGGUGCACCAAGACGACAAGGUGCAUGCACGAUCAGCCAAAAUUUUCUUCCGUUUUUUCCCUUCUUAAUUUUGUUUUCCGUGUCCGUCCAUGGCGAGCCACAGGGUUGGGUGGGUCAGCAUUAGGGGAGGGACAUUAUUUCGGUGACGAGGGAGAAGGCCAAGGGGUCAAGCUCAUCGGUGCCAUGUCAAUGCUAGUGAGGCUAGGGCGGCAUCAAAAGAGGAUGCAUUGGAUGGCUUGGUGGAAGAUGUGUGUUCCUAAAAAUCAAGGAGGCAUGGGAUUUCGGGAUAUUCAUUGUUUCAACCUAGAAUUACUAGCUAAACAAGCAUGGCGUCUCCUCCAUAAUCUGGAUUCUCUAUGUGUGCGUGUGUUUUUUUGA
rnacentral:rRNA from 1 species